CUAGAGUGAGAUAGAGGCAAGCGGAAUUCCAUGUGUAGCGGUAAAAUGCGUAAAUAUAUGGAGGAACACCAGAGGCGUAGGCGGCUUGCUGGGUCUUUACUGACGCUGAGGCACGAAAGCGUGGGGAGCAAACAGGAUUAGAUACCCUGGUAGUCCACGCCGUAAACGAUGAGUACUAAGUGUCGGGUAAAACUGGUACUGAAGUUAACACAUUAAGUACUCCGCCUGAGUAGUACGUACGCAAGUAUGAAACUUAAAGGAAUUGACGGGACUCCGCACAAGCGGUGGAUCAUGUUGUUUAAUUCGAAGAUACACGAAAAACCUUACCAGGUCUUGACAUUUUCUUGCGAAGUUAUAGAAAUAUAAUGGAGGUUAUCAGGAAAACAGGUGGUGCAUGGUUGUCGUCAGCUCGUGUCGUGAGAUGUUAGGUUAAGUCCUAAAACGAGCGCAACCCUUGUCGUUAAUUGCCAGCAUGUAAUGAUGGGGACUUUAACGAGACUGCCAAUGAAAAAUUGGAGGAAGGUGGGGAUUACGUCAAAUCAUCAUGCCCCUUAUGAUCUGGGCUACAAACGUGAUACAAUGGUUGAUACAAAGAGUAGCUGAAACGCGAGUUCUUAGCCAAUCUCAAAAAAUCAAUCUCAGUUCGGAUUGAAGUCUGCAACUCGACUUCAUGAAGUUGGAAUCGCUAGUAAUCGCGAAUCAGC
rnacentral:rRNA from 1 species